rnacentral:rRNA from 1 species
GUACACUCCUGCGGGAGGCAGCAGUGGGGAAUUUUGAACAAUGGGCGAAAGCCUGAUCCAGCAAUGCCGCGUGCAGGAUGAAGGCCUUCGGGUUGUAAACUGCUUUUGUACGGAACGAAAAAGCUCCUUCUAAUACAGGGGGCCCAUGACGGUACCGUAAGAAUAAGCACCGGCUAACUACGUGCCAGCAGCCGCGGUAAUACGUAGGGUGCGAGCGUUAAUCGGAAUUACUGGGCGUAAAGCGUGCGCAGGCGGUUAUGUAAGACAGAUGUGAAAUCCCCGGGCUCAACCUGGGAACUGCAUUUGUGACUGCAUGGCUAGAGUACGGUAGAGGGGGAUGGAAUUCCGCGUGUAGCAGUGAAAUGCGUAGAUAUGCGGAGGAACACCGAUGGCGAAGGCAAUCCCCUGGACCUGUACUGACGCUCAUGCACGAAAGCGUGGGGAGCAAACAGGAUUAGAUACCCGGGUAGUCCCAUGA